rnacentral:rRNA from 1 species
GACAGAGGGUGCAAACGUUGCUCGGAAUCACUGGGCGUAAAGGGCGUGUAGGCGGGAGAGAAAGUCGGGCGUGAAAUCCCUAGGCUCAACCUAGGAACUGCACUCGAAACUUCUUUUCUUGAGUGCCGGAAAGGAAAGCGGAAUACCUGGUGUAGAGGUGAAAUUCGUAGAUAUCAGGUGGAACACCAGUGGCGAAGGCGGCUUUCUGGACGGUAACUGACGCUGAGACGCGAAAGCGUGGGGAGCAAACAGG